rnacentral:lncRNA from 1 species
AAAAAGGCUCGCUAGACCAAAUCUCAUGGUAAACAUCAAUUAAUCUCUCGCCCCAAGGAUCACGGAGAGAAUUUGAUAAUAUAGCUAAUUCUUCUCAAUCCGAGAUUUUUACAUAGUUUUCUAGUUCUACACGUUUCAUUUCAAAUAGAUGUAUAAAACUAGCAACACUAAUGUUAGGUGACAUCUUAAAAGACUUGAGCUCUUUCAAUUUCUUUUCUCUUUCCCUUUGUAUUGCUCUUUCAUUCCAUAACAAAUUUUGUGUCGCCCUUGGGACACCAUUUCGUAUGAUCUCACGACCUCGAAAACAUGCCCUUCAACGAUGCGCCCUUCUACCUUGCCUCUUUGCUCGACAUUCAGAACUCCUACUUGGAGUGAUUCGAGUUUGUCCCCGUUAAGCCAUUUCUGAAAUACGAACUAAGAAAUAAUAAGAAUGAAUUUACCACUCUAUGUGACACAUAUGUCACAUUUAUUUGUAGAAUGCAAAGUCCGUUAAAGAAAAAAUAUGAACUAGUUAAGACAAGGAAAGAAAAAUAUCAAGUCAUAUAUAUAUAUAUAUUCUCUUAUGUAAUUUAUAAACAUGUCACAAAAUUGGUCAAUUCUAUUUUAAAACAAAAUCGUUUCUAUAUUUAUUUAGACAGAAUCCAAAAUAUGACUUUAAUAAUACACUUUUAGAUAUUAAAACAUUUAAAACAAUAGAAAAAGGCCGAAUAAAUAUUCUAAUCAUAAAAGAAAUUGAAUGAGAAAAAAAAAUUCUUUCUUUUAAAACUAAUUCCAUAUUCACUUCCAUGAUUUUCUAGAAAGAAACAUAGCACGAGUAAAUGAGAAUUAGAGUACUGCAAACAAUUAUUAAAAUAAAGAAAUACAAAGGAUGCUUUUCACUUUAUACAGUGCCCUUUCAACUGACCUUUCUAUACUUUUCAUUUAUCCGAAAGAAGAAAAAAAUGAAAUACACUGCAUUUGUUCUCCAUCAAAGUAAAAAUCAAGCAUAAACAAUUUUUUUUUCUCUUACUCGAUAUGAAAUAAUCUCAUAUCAGUAUAUUCAUUUCCAAAAGGAGAUACGAAGACUUUUAAACGCAGUAACAGAUUAUGACUAAAUUCAUUUUAUUUUCUCCAAAUUAAAAUUUAUAAUCAUAUCCACAACGAAAUCCGCCGCUCAAAGGUUGCGUGUUUGACCGGAUUCAGAACACAAUGGAGUCGCGUCUGUCGGCAGAUCAAAAGUUUAAGUGACCGAUUUUUGUCGGAUCUAAAAUUCUGAUUGCAUCCGGUUAUUUUUAUUUUCUUAUCAGGUAAGCACUUACAUAAUAUUUCAAGAUAUUUGCACAAUAAAAUUCAGAAUUUUUCAUGCAAAAUUAGGACAACCAAAACCUGUCUCUGAUGCCAUUGUAGUAAAUUUGGAGCAAAACAAUAAUAAGUUGUGUAUCUUAAAUUCACAGCGGAAAUUAUUUUUGCUUCCGAAAUGAUCUGCCCCAAGUCCACUUCGUUUUUCUUGAAAACAAAAUCAUUUCACCAACUAAAUGCUCUUGUUUUGAUGUUUUUGUUAAUUUCAAUUACUUAUUUUUCGACUUAGUUUUUCUCUCUGUAUAUUUAUUUCUUGCCCUUGUCAGAAAAACAGAAAAGAGAUCAUAUAGCGAUCUUUUUGGGUGGGAUCAGUUAUAACCGUUCCCUUUUUUUUGAAUUAAGAUUAUCUAUUAAUCUUAUUUUCUAACUAAGAUAAAAGGGUCGAGUCGGGUCCACAUGGAUGACCCAUACCCAUAAU